rnacentral:rRNA from 1 species
CUUGCUACUUCGGCGUCGAGCGGCGGACGGGUGAGUAAUGCCUAGGAAAUUGCCCUGAUGUGGGGGAUAACCAUUGGAAACGAUGGUUAAUACCGCAUAAUGCCUUCGGGCCAAAGAGGGGGACCUUCGGGCCUCUCGCGUCAGGAUAUGCCUAGGUGGGAUUAGCUAGUUGGUGAGGUAAUGGCUCACCAAGGCGACGAUCCCUAGCUGGUCUGAGAGGAUGAUCAGCCACACUGGAAUUGAGACACGGUCCAGACUCUUACGGGAGGCAGCAGUGGGGAAUAUUGCACAAUGGGCGCAAGCCUGAUGCAGCCAUGCCGCGUGUAUGAAGAAGGCCUUCGGGUUGUAAAGUACUUUCAGCAGUGAGGAAGGGGUGUCCGUUAAUA